rnacentral:rRNA from 1 species
CGCAAGCCUGAUGCAGCGACGCCGCGUGAGGGAUGACGGCCUUCGGGUUGUAAACCUCUGUUAGCAUCGGAGAAGCGAAAGUGACGGUAGGUGCAGAGAAAGCGCCGGCUAACUACGUGCCAGCAGCCGCGGUAAUACGUAGGGCGCGAGCGUUGUCCGGAAUUAUUGGGCGUAAAGAGCUUGUAGGCGGUUGGUCGCGUCUGCUGUGAAAGGCUGGGGCUUAACCCUGGUUUUGCAGUGGGUACGGGCUAACUAGAGUGCAGUAGGGGAGACUGGAAUUCCUGGUGUAGCGGUGGAAUGCGCAGAUAUCAGGAGGAACACCGAUGGCGAAGGCAGGUCUCUGGGCUGUAACUGACGCUGAGAAGCGAAAGCAUGGGGAGCGAACAGGAUUAGAUACCCUGGUAGUCCAUGCCGUAAACGUUGGGCACUAGGUGUGGGGGACAUUCCACGUUUUCCGCGCCGUAGCUAACGCAUUAAGUGCCCGCCUGGGGAGUACGGGCGCAAGGCUAAAACUCAAAGAAAUUGACGGGGGCCCGCACAAGCGGCGGAGCAUGCGGAUUAAUUCGAUGCAACGCGAAGAACCU